UACGAAGGGGGCUAGCGUUGUUCGGAAUUACUGGGCGUAAAGCGCACGUAGGCGGAUAUUUAAGUCAGGGGUGAAAUCCCAGAGCUCAACUCUGGAACUGCCUUUGAUACUGGGUAUCUUGAGUAUGGAAGAGGUAAGUGGAAUUCCGGGUGUAGAGGUGAAAUUCGUAGAUAUUCGGAGGAACACCAGUGGCGAAGGCGGCUUACUGGUCCAUUACUGACGCUGAGGUGCGAAAGCGUGGGGAGCAAACAGG
rnacentral:rRNA from 1 species